GGCUGGUCGGAUGGUAGUGGGUUAUCAGAACUUAUUAACAUUAGUGUCACUAAAGUUGGUAGACAACCCCCCACUGCUAACUUUGACUGGCUUAAA
ensembl:Y_RNA Y_RNA Y RNA